rnacentral:rRNA from 1 species
AUUGAACGCUGGCGGCAGGCCUAACACAUGCAAGUCGAACGAGUGGCGGACGGGUGAGUAAUGUCUGGGAAACUCCCUGAUGGAGGGGGAUAACUACUGGAACCGGUAGCUAAUACGGCAUACCAUCAGAUGUGCCCAGAUGGGAUGAGCUAGUUGGUGGGGUAACGGCUCACCAAGGCGACGACCCGUAGCUGGUCUGAGAGGAUGACCAGCAACACUGGAACUGAGACACGGUCCAGACACCUACGGUAGGCAGCAGUGGGGAAUAUUGCACAAUGGGCGCAAGCCGGAUGCAGCCAUGCCGCGUGUAUGAAGAAGGCCUUCGGGUUGUAAAGUACUUUCAGCGGGGAGGCGUUACCCGCAGAAGAAGCACCGGCUAACUCCGUGCCAGCCGCCGCGGUAAUUC